rnacentral:rRNA from 1 species
AUUUAUGGCCAUGCCACCCUGAACAAGCCCAAUCCCAUCUGAUUUCGGAAGCUAAGCAGGGUUGGGCCUGGUUAGUACUUAGAUGGGAAACCACCUAGGAAGACCAGGUGCUGUAGGUG